UACAAGCCCUGUGUUGAAGAUGGUAGAUGUUCAACAUUUCCUGCCAUUUCAGAACUCCACACAGAAACAUGUUCUUCUUUUGAUAUGUGGUUUUUGAUAAGAGGUUAGUAAAUUAUUCAACCGAGCAAAAUGUGUGCCCAAAUGGAAGCAGGACUCUGUACAUGCUGUAAGUCAGAUGCAAUUUACUGUAAAUUAAAAAAAAAAAAAAAAAAAAUCCCUCGCGAAUGACAGUGUUAAUAAUUUAAAAUGAAUGUGCAAUAUCCAUAAUGGUCAUCACAAACACGUUUCCAUAUGUAAUAUGCAUGGCAGUUUCCAACAUUCAUACAAUAGAAGGUGAUGUAGUGUGAUUAUUUACAAUAUUUGUUAAUUUAGGAUUGUUUUGGGGGGUUGUGUGUGUGUGACUGAUUUAGCUGAAACUUGUUAUUCUUGGUGGUUUAAAUGACCUUACAUCUAAUCUUUUACCAGUCACUGCUCCUGAUAGGCUGAUGUGGUCCCACUCCAUUAUUUGGUUGCAGCUCCAUCAGUGGUCCCUGGUAAGGUAGAUAAAAGCAAGCUGAAGAAGCCAGUCUUUGUCGUGCCCCACGUCUCUGUAGUAGUCCCACUCCACUGUUUGGUCAUUGAUCCUUGGCUCUCCUGUUAUAUUGUAGUGGUGAGACUGUAGAAGGACCCAAAAAGAAGACCCAAGAUGAUGAGAAUGUUUCAGUGGACAAUGGUGGUGGUGGUGCUGCUGCUUUUACCACAUGACUGUCCAAUCAAACAGCCUGUUAAGCCUAAACACAAUCCCCACCCCCUAUACACACUCCUUUUUUCCACCUUUCAUCUGCUUGCAUCCCUGUAGUUUCCAUUAAAUGUAUAUUAAAUACAAUUUUCGCAAAAUAUUGAGGUAUUUUUGUCACCUUAUACAUAUAUGCAUAGAGAAGACAAUAAUUGUGAUACUUUUGUCACUUUCACAUAGACGACAACAUUCAACAAAAUACAAAUUAAUUAAAAGAAGCAAACAAUGUCUAUAAAUGAAAUUAGUAUGCAUUAUAUUAAUAAA